UACAGAGGGGGCAAGCGUUGUUCGGAAUUACUGGGCGUAAAGCGCACGUAGGCGGCUUUGUAAGUUAGAGGUGAAAGCCCGGGGCUCAACUCCGGAACUGCCUUUAAGACUGCAUCGCUUGAAUCCGGGAGAGGUGAGUGGAAUUCCGAGUGUAGAGGUGAAAUUCGUAGAUAUUCGGAAGAACACCAGUGGCGAAGGCGGCUCACUGGACCGGUAUUGACGCUGAGGUGCGAAAGCGUGGGGAGCAAACAGG
rnacentral:rRNA from 1 species